AAAGGGUGCGUAGGCGGGUAGGUAAGUCAGUGGUGAAAUCCUGGAGCUCAACUCCAGAACUGCCAUUGAUACUAUCUAUCUUGAAUAUUGUGGAGGUAAGCGGAAUAUGUCAUGUAGCGGUGAAAUGCUUAGAUAUGACAUAGAACACCCAUUGCGAAGGCAGCUUACUACGCAUAUAUUGACGCUGAGGCACGAAAGCGUGGGGAUCAAACAGGAUUAGAUACCCUUGU
rnacentral:rRNA from 1 species